rnacentral:rRNA from 1 species
ACUCCUACGGGAGGCAGCAGUGGGGAAUAUUGGACAAUGGGCGCAAGCCUGAUCCAGCCAUGCCGCGUGAGUGAUGAAGGCCCUAGGGUUGUAAAGCUCUUUCGCCAGGGACGAUAAUGACGGUACCUGGAUAAGAAGCCCCGGCUAACUUCGUGCCAGCAGCCGCGGUAAUACGAAGGGGCUAGCGUUGUUCGGAAUUACUGGGCGUAAAGCGCAUGCAGGCGGAUCGCUAAGUCGGGGGUGAAAGCCCGAGGCUCAACCUCGGAACUGCCUUCGAUACUGGUGAUCUU